rnacentral:rRNA from 1 species
UACGGGGGGGGUAAGCGUUGUUCGGAAUUACUAGGCUUAAAGGGCGCGUAGGCGGCUUGCCAAGUCAGGGGUGAAAUCCUGCAGCUUAACUGUAGAAGGGCCUUUGAUACUGGCGAGCUCGAGGGAGGUAGGGGUAUGUGGAACUUCCGGUGGAGCGGUGAAAUGCGUUGAUAUCGGAAGGAACGCCGGUGGCGAAAGCGACGUACUGGACCUCUUCUGACGCUGAGGCGCGAAAGCUAGGGGAGCAAACGGG